UCUCUGUCCUUUACCCUCACUGCAGGUUCAGAUGGACUAGGACAUGCAGUACAUUAUCAGCCAGGUCCUGCAAAUGUAGCUGCUGCAGGUGAAGGGCUGCUGAGGACACAGCUCAGCUGUUCAGCAUCGGACCUUCAUCUCUGCAAGCUGAAGCCAUAGGGACCACCUUUCUAAGUAUCAAGGUGAGCAGUGGGAAUCAUUGUGCACUGGGAGGCUAGCCUGGAGCCUUACUGACAUUGACACUAACAUGACACAACUCCUUACACUUUGGUCCUUUGAUUCACAUCACUCUCCACUUGGCUUGUUAUGCCUUCUGAUAUUCUACCUACACUACAACCAUCCAUCCAGGAAUACAAGCUCACUGUGAGAGGGAGAUAUAACCAGUGUGGGACCCUGGGUGUGGGGCAGAGGGACUCAGAACACAUUUUAUUCUUCUGGGUCCAAAACAAUUACAGCAAUAAAUAUUAGUGUAAUGCAAUAUUUAAGAAUGAAAACAACAACAAAUGGAGUGUGACUCAGGGGUGUAUAUCCCAGAGCCUAGAGUCCCCCAGUGAUGGAGCCCUGUCACCACUGUAGAGAUAGUGGGAUCUGAGAGCAUGGAGGUGAUUAAUGAGGUU
rnacentral:lncRNA from 1 species